AUUGAACGCUGGCGGCAUGCUUUACACAUGCAAGUCGAACGGUAACAGGCCUUCGGGUGCUGACGAGUGGCGAACGGGUGCGUAAUGCAUCGGAACGUACCCAGAGGUGGGGGAUAACGCAGCGAAAGCUGUGCUAAUACCGCAUGUGAUCUGAGGAUGAAAGCGGGGGACCGAGCAGCAAUGUUUGGCCUCGCGCCUUUGGAGCGGCCGAUGUCGGAUUAGCUAGUUGGUGGGGUAAAGGCCUACCAAGGCGACGAUCCGUAGCUGGUCUGAGAGGACGACCAGCAACACUGGGACUGAGACACGGCCCAGACUCCUACGGGAGGCAGCAGUGGGGAAUUUUGGACAAUGGGCGCAAGCCUGAUCCAGCAAUGCCGCGUGCGGGAAGAAGGCCUUCGGGUUGUAAACCGCUUUUGGCAGGAACGAAACGGUGUCCGCUAAUACCGGGCGCUAAUGACGGUACCUGCAGAAUAAGCACCGGCUAACUACGUG
rnacentral:rRNA from 1 species